rnacentral:rRNA from 1 species
AGAGUUUGAUCCUGGCUCAGGAUAAACGCUGGCGGCGUGCCUAACACAUGCAAGUCGAACGCGCACGGGUGCAAGCCCGUGUGAGUGGCGGACGGGUGAGUAACACGUGGGUACCUACCCUAUGGUGAGGAAUACCGGCGAGAAAUCGCCGACAAUACCGCAUAGGUUUGCGUCAUGCAAACAAAGCUCGCGCGAGCGGG